rnacentral:misc_RNA from 1 species
GCCAGCUUUGAUGUCUACGCUAAACCUUUCCGUCUCUGAUAUUUGAUGCAAACUGCACUCUGUAAUCCAAUAUAUAUAUUUGAUAUUAAGGACUUGUCAUAGUGGAGAUUUGUCACUGUUGGCUAACAAUUCUUAUAUAUAUAUACUAGUUAUUCUAGUUGAUUUGAGCGGAAGGAGAAGGGAUGUCCUCAAUGAGAACAUAUGCAUUGCUUCUUUUAUGUUCUUUUGCAUUCUCCUCGUUUUCAUAAUUGAGACUUUCGAUGGUAGCUGAGCUGGGGUAGACCCCGAGCACUCUUGUUUAGCCUCUGAGCUCGACUGAAGUUUUUUGU